GAUGAACGCUGGCGGCGUGCCUAAUACAUGCAAGUCGAGCGAACAGACGAGGAGCUUGCUCCUCUGACGUUAGCGGCGGACGGGUGAGUAACACGUGGAUAACCUACCUAUAAGACUGGGAUAACUUCGGGAAACCGGAGCUAAUACCGGAUAAUAUAUUGAACCGCAUGGUUCAAUAGUGAAAGACGGUUUUGCUGUCACUUAUAGAUGGAUCCGCGCCGCAUUAGCUAGUUGGUAAGGUAACGGCUUACCAAGGCAACGAUGCGUAGCCGACCUGAGAGGGUGAUCGGCCACACUGGAACUGAGACACGGUCCAGACUCCUACGGGAGGCAGCAGUAGGGAAUCUUCCGCAAUGGGCUAAAGCCUGACGGAGCAACGCCGCGUGAGUGAUGAAGGUCUUCGGAUCGUAAAACUCUGUUAUUAGGGAAGAACAAAUGUGUAAGUACCUAUGCACGUCUUGACGGUACCUAAUCAGAAAGCCACGGCUAACUACGUG
rnacentral:rRNA from 1 species